rnacentral:rRNA from 1 species
AGAGUUUGAUCAUGGCUCAGAGCGAACGCUGGCGGCAUGCUUAACACAUGCAAGUCUCACGGGCAGCAAUGUCAGUGGCGGACGGGUGAGUAACGCGUAGGUAUCUAUCUCUGGGUGGGGGAUAACUGUGGGAAACUACAGCUAAUACCGCAUGAUGACUGAGGUCCAAAGGCGCAAGUCGCCUGGAGAGGAGCCUGCGUACGAUUAGCUUGUUGGUGGGGUAAAGGCCUACCAAGGCGACGAUCGUUAGCUGGUCUGAGAGGAUGAUCAGCCACAUUGGGACUGAGACACGGCCCAAACUCCUACGGGAGGCAGCAGUGGGGAAUAUUGGACAAUGGGCGAAAGCCUGAUCCAGCAAUGCCGCGUGUGUGAAGAAGGUCUUCGGAUUGUAAAGCACUUUCGACGGGGACGAUGAUGACGGUACCCAUAGAAGAAGCCCCGGCUAACUUCGUGCCAGCAGCCGCGGUAAUACGAAGGGGGCUAGCGUUGCUCGGAAUGACUGGGCGUAAAGGGCGCGUAGGCGGAUGGCACAGUCAGAUGUGAAAUUCCCGGGCUUAACCUGGGGGCUGCAUUUGAUACGUGUGAUCUAGAGUGAGGAAGAGGGUCGUGGAAUUCCCAGUGUAGAGGUGAAAUUCGUAGAUAUUGGGAAGAACACCGGUGGCGAAGGCGGCGACCUGGUCCUUUACUGACGCUGAGGCGCGAAAGCGUGGGGAGCAAACAGGAUUAGAUACCCUGGUAGUCCACGCUGUAAACGAUGUGUGCUGGAUGUUGGGCGACCUAGUCGCUCAGUGUCGUAGCUAACGCGAUAAGCACACCCGCCUGGGGAGUACGGCCGCAAGGUUGAAACUCAAAGGAAUUGACGGGGGCCCGCACAAGCGGUGGAGCAUGUGGUUUAAUUCGAAGCAACGCGCAGAACCUUACCAGGGCUUGACAUGGGGUGGCCGCGUCCAGAGAUGGGCGUUCCCGCAAGGGCCACCUGCACAGGUGCUGCAUGGCUGUCGUCAGCUCGUGUCGUGAGAUGUUGGGUUAAGUCCCGCAACGAGCGCAACCCUUGUCAUUAGUUGCUACAUUUAGUUGGGCACUCUAAUGAGACUGCCGGUGACAAGCCAGAGGAAGGUGGGGAUGACGUCAAGUCCUCAUGGCCCUUAUAGGUGGGGCUACACACGUCAUACAAUGGCUGGUACAAAGGGUUGCCAACCCGCGAGGGGGAGCUAAUCCCAUAAAGCCAGUCGUAGUCCGGAUCGUAGUCUGCAACUCGACUACGUGAAGUCGGAAUCGCUAGUAAUCGUGGAUCAGAAUGUCACGGUGAAUACGUUCCCGGGUCUUGUACACACCGCCCGUCACACCAUGGGAGCGGGUUCUGCCAGAAGUAGUUAGCCUAACCUGCAAAGGAGGGCGAUUACCACGGCAGGGUUCGUGACUGGGGUGAAGUCGUAACAAGGUAGCCGU